GACGAACGCUGGCGGCGUGCUUAACACAUGCAAGUCGAACGGAAAGGCCCUGCUUUUGUGGGGUGCUCGAGUGGCGAACGGGUGAGUAGCACGUGAGUAACCUGCCCUUGACUUUGGGAUAACUUCAGGAAACUGGGGCUAAUACCGGAUAGGAGCUCCUGCUGCAUGGUGGGGGUUGGAAAGUUUCGGCGGUUGGGGAUGGACUCGCGGCUUAUCAGCUUGUUGGUGGGGUAGUGGCUUACCAAGGCUUUGACGGGUAGCCGGCCUGAGAGGGUGACCGGCCACAUUGGGACUGAGAUACGGCCCAGACUCCUACGGGAGGCAGCAGUGGGGAAUAUUGCUCAAUGGGCGGAAGCCUGAUGCAGCAACGCCGCGUGCGGGAUGACGGCCUUCGGGUUGUAAACCGCUUUCGCCUGUGACGAAGCGUGAGUGACGGUAAUGGGUAAAGAAGCACCGGCUAACUACGUG
rnacentral:rRNA from 1 species